rnacentral:rRNA from 1 species
UCGAGAAUUUUUCACAAUGGGGGAAACCCUGAUGGAGCGACGCCGCGUGGAGGAUGAAGGCGUUUUCGUCGUAAACUCCUGUCAUGCGAGAACAAGAAAGUGAUAGUAUCGCAAGAGGAAGAGACGGCUAACUCUGUGCCAGCAGCCGCGGUAAUACAGAGGUCUCAAGCGUUGUUCGGAUUCAUUGGGCGUAAAGGGUGCGUAGGUGGCAUGGUAAGUUGAAGGUGAAAUCUCGGAGCUCAACUCCGAAACUGCCUUCAAUACUGCUGUGCUUGAGGACUGUAGAGGAGAAUGGAAUUCACGGUGUAGCAGUGAAAUGCGUAGAUAUCGUGAGGAAGACCAGUGGCGAAGGCGAUUCUCUGGGCAGUUCCUGACACUGAGGCACGAAGGCUAGGGGAGCAAACGG